GCUUACGGCAUACCCUGAACGCCGAUCUCGUCGAUCUCGGAAGCUAAGCAGGGUCGGGCUGGUUAGUACUUGGAUGGGAGACGCUGGGAAUACAGGUGCUGUAAGCU
rnacentral:rRNA from 1 species